GUGUGCAUCAAUAAAUGUGUCCCAAAAGCAACCAAUAAAUAACUUGAAUAAGUUAAUAAAUAUCAGGACAAGGCAUGGAAAUAGGAUCUGCAGGGUCCACAUCACAACAGUCAGUAUUCGAACUACACUUUUGGAUUUUAGAGGCUUGUGUAGGGCAGGGUUGAGACACUUAGGGGAGCAGCAGUGGCUCUGGGGAAUAGAUUUUGAGAGGCAACUCAUAGUUGGGGGGCACAUUUGACUUGGACUGCAGGCAAUAUUUUAAAAAGAUAAGCACUGGUCCUAGUUCUGGUCACUUCUCCUCAAACUUAGUGAUGUUUUGAAAAAAAAUAAUCUGGGCAUCCAGAUGGGUGAGCUGUUGGACCUCCAACUUUUUGUUUGACAUAGUUGUCCUACAUGGAAGGGCUUCCAUUCCACCCCCUUUCUGUCCAUCACACCGGUGUUUAUCCCUUGAAUCACAUCCAAUGUGAUUUAUAUGAGCAUCAAUCAAAACAUGUGCAGGUCUUUAAACUGUACUCUUUCUUAUGAGGUCAGGAAAUAAUUGCAUAUGUUUCACCUCCCGUUUUGCCUCCAAAGUGAUGCAUAUGGGGAAUGUAAAUUUGUGAUCGUCUAAUCUUGCUUGCUUAGACGGCUUGCACAAUUUGAUUACUCUGCUUUUCCUUUUCAGCAAAUCUCACCAUCGUUUUUAAUAGAUCCAUUAAAACAAAAACAAAAAAGUGGAAUGAAACAUCAGAGAUCAAAGUGAUGGAAUAUUUAGGAUGACACCAAAGACAACGGUUUUUGUUAAUGAGUUUACUGACAGGCCUAGCACUGCUCCUGUAAUAGG